rnacentral:tRNA from 1 species
CGGAGCGUGGCGCAGCUUGGUAGCGCGUCGCAAUGGGGUUGCGAAGGUCGCUGGUUCGAAUCCAGUCGCUCCGACCA